rnacentral:misc_RNA from 1 species
AGCGCGUAUCAGGACUAUGUGCCGACGGCGAAAGCGCGUGCGCUGUUUCCGGUGCUGGUCGCGUCACCGAAGUGCUCGACGUGCUCGACGCGAUGCUCGGCGAACACAUCUACGAGCCGCGCGCCGACGGCGGCGACCCGCGCCAGUGCCCGAGCUGCGGCACCGGCAAGCUCAAUCUCAAGGCCGGCAAGUUCGGCGCCUUUGUCGGCUGCUCGAACUAUCCCGAAUGCC